rnacentral:rRNA from 1 species
GACCAGAGUGGACGAACCUCUGGUGUUCGGGUUGUCACGCCAGUGGCAUUGCCCGGUAGCUACGUUCGGAUGGGAUAACCGCUGAAAGCAUCUAAGCGGGAAGCCCACCUCAAGAUUAGAUUUCCCUAAAGAGCCGUUCAAGACUAGGACGUUGAUAGGCAGGGUGUGGAAGUGCAGCGAUGCAUGUAGCUAACCUGUACUAAUUGCUCGUUUGGCUUGACCAU